CCUACGGGUGGCUGCAGUAGGGAAUAUUGCACAAUGGGCGCAAGCCUGAUGCAGCCAUGCCGCGUGUGUGAAGAAGGCCUUCGGGUUGUAAAGCACUUUCAGCGGGGAGGAAGGCGGUGAGGUUAAUAACCUCAUCGAUUGACGUUACCCGCAGAAGAAGCACCGGCUAACUCCGUGCCAGCAGCCGCGGUAAUACGGAGGGUGCAAGCGUUAAUCGGAAUUACUGGGCGUAAAGCGCACGCAGGCGGUCUGUCAAGUCGGAUGUGAAAUCCCCGGGCUCAACCUGGGAACUGCAUUCGAAACUGGCAGGCUAGAGUCUUGUAGAGGGGGGUAGAAUUCCAGGUGUAGCGGUGAAAUGCGUAGAGAUCUGGAGGAAUACCGGUGGCGAAGGCGGCCCCCUGGACAAAGACCGACGCUCAGGUGCGAAAGCGUGGGGAGCAAACAGGAUUAGAUACCCGUGUAGUC
rnacentral:rRNA from 1 species